UACGUAGGGUGCAAGCGUUGUCCGGAAUUAUUGGGCAUAAAGAGCUCGUAGGCGGUUUGUCGCGUCGAAUGUGAAAACCCGGGGCUCAACUCCGGGCUUGCAUUCGAUACGGGCAGGCUAGAGUUCGGUAGGGGAGUCUGGAAUUCCUGGUGUAGCGGUGAAAUGCGCAGAUAUCAGGAGGAACACCGGUGGCGAAGGCGGGACUCUGGGCCGAUACUGACGCUGAGGAGCGAAAGCGUGGGGAGCGAACAGG
rnacentral:rRNA from 1 species